rnacentral:rRNA from 1 species
CAUUUUGACCUCAAAUCCGGA